rnacentral:rRNA from 1 species
ACCUAGAUAUAGAUUCUUCACGGCAACGUAACUNAAUGUGGAGACGUCGGCAUNAGCCCUGGGAGGAGUUCUNUNUUCUUCUUAACAGCUUAUCACCCUGGAAUUGNUUUAUCCGGAGAUAGGGUNUUAUGGCUGGAAGAGGGUAGUAUCNUUGCUACUNCGGUGCGCUCAUNACGGUCCUUNAAAAUCCACAGGAAGGAAUAGUUUUUAUGCUAGGUAGUACU